rnacentral:lncRNA from 1 species
GCUGAAGGGGAACAUCAUCUUCCUCUGAAAAAUAAUCCAGCAGGAACCAAUGCUGAAUAAUUGGGCUUCAUGAGAAUGUCACUGUCAAGUCUCAAAAUAUAUGGAGAGAUAAUUAAUUUUAUUUUUUCUGUCUUAUCCAUUUUCAGCAUGUUCAUGUCCACGUUCUUCCCAGAAAGGCUGGAGACUUUCGCAGGAAUGACAGCAUCUACGAUGAGCCCUGUAGUUCAUGCAGUCAUUCUGGUCCUUUUACCUUCAUGCUUUGAAGUCUUCAACGUGUUCUCGUUGCACCAAAUCCAGCCUUUUCAGCCAGACGCACAAGCUGCAGGGCUCUCCACUGCUCACCCUUCCAGCCGGUUCUUCCCACCAAGCUUCCUGCUUCCCGAGCCUCUGCCGCUGCCCUCCGUCUGCUGGGGAUCCUCCGGUCCCAGCCUUUAACGGACUCCUUCUCCUCACUCACAUCUCAACUCCAGAGUCCCCUCCUCUGGAAGGCUGUCUGGUAAAACCGGUCCUACUGAAGGUUCCGUCAUCCCUGCAAAUCGUUAUAUUUGGUUUUUCCUCAGAGCUCUUAUAACAUGAAAUGACUGAUUCCCAAACACUGAUCACAAAAUAUUCUGAAGCCUCCCAAAGGUCACCCCGGGAGAACAGCUGCUCCCAACUGCUGGGCCCCGCUUCAGCCCUCAAGUGCAGACACUUUCUCCCACCCCCAGGUCCUCCUCAGUCAGCUAUUUCCCAGCCCCGACCCGUGAAGGCCAUGUUCAGUGCCACAUUUCCCACAGCUCUGUUUUCAACUGGACGCAUUUCCUGUAAAGGAGAGCUGCGAUGGUUUGCCAUGAGAUGAAUACGACCUAAAUAAAACAGUCUUAUUGCAGAUCUAGCUAGGCUCUGGAUGGCCUCUCUGACUCCGUCAGAGGUCGGGUUGGUGCCGUGCUAAGGACAAACUGGCAUCCUCUGGGACUUACUUCUUGGUCAGUCAGAAGCCUGGAGACAAGUGAGCAGGAAGUAGCUUGCUCUCAGUAGGCCUGCAAGCUGUUUGCAGCUGUGUGUAGCAUUGGAGGCCGGUCGGGUCUCCCCAAACGGCACCUGAACCUCAGCUGUCCUGAUGCCCUGGCGCAUGCAUAGCAGCUGCACAGACGCUGCCUGAGGGUUCACCCAGAAAGCUUGCUGUGACUCCCUGGGGAAGCUGGCCCUGAGUGCAAGCUGCAGCAGCUCCGGCCCAGGCACCAAGAGCCUGCAGAAGCUGUUCCCACGCCCAGAGCAGCCCUUUCCUUGAAAUCCACCCGCCAUCUUUUAAGCCUGGUCCAAAUCCCUGAUUUUGAAAACUGAAUCCUGGACUCUCAUCUAGCAAGAAUUUCUCCCACUGCCCAGAUAUCCUAACACUCUGGUGGAGCGUCCAGCCUAGUACUUUGGUCAGUUUGACUGAUAGAAAUUGUGGAUGUAUGUGUUUUUCUGCCUUUUUUGAGGGGCAAAACCCAGAAGACAAAGAUUGUUGGCUCAUUCAUCAAAAUAUCUUCCAUAAGACCUGGAACAGUGCCUAGGAUGUAUCAUGUGCUGAACAAAGUUUGUUAGCUGUGUUGAAAAUAGUUGUAACAGAGCAUCAGAUCUUUCGAAAACAAAGACUUAUCGGGCUACUCAGGAGCCUGAGACACAAGGAUCACAAGUUUGAGUUCAGCUGGGCAACAAAAUUCUUAAAAAGCUAGAGACACAGCUCAGUAGUAGAGUGCUAGCCUAGCAUUUAAGAGACCCUGGGUUUAAUCCCCAGCUUAAAAGCAAGAUUUACUUACUUCUUUAUUCAAUGUAAUUAUUUUCCUUCUGAAAAAUUAGUUAUACAAAUUCCUACGUAAAGAGAACCAUGAACCCACAAAAAGUGGUUUAUUUAAACUCUGCUCUGCAUAUUGUCUUAUGAAAUGAUAUCUUGUUGUUAUCACUUUUAUAACACCUAAGUUUAUAGUCAUCCACUUUCAAGAGGAGCAUUCAAUUGGGUUUCCCCCUUUUGAAGGUAGUUUGGCAUUUACUACAGGUUAGUUUCAAAUUCUGAGAGACAUUUAAAUUAUUGUGAAUCAUUCUGCCUACUGUAUUCCAUUACAGAGCUAUAAAAACAUCAAUAGCCAAGGCAGCUUGAGCAUUGCAUCAGAGAAUUAAUCAUUACCCCAUACACCUUGCAAUAAUGCACUCAAGGCACAGGAGGGAAGCAAGUGUCAAAAUCGACACAUACAGUACUUUAGUCAGAAAUCCUGUUAACACUCCCUUCCCUGCAAGUCAGUUCAAGCAGACGAAGAAGGAUGACUGCAGAUACUUUUUUCCCCAAAAGUUUAUUUUCAAAGCUGUAUAGAAAUAGAAUUCACUUGCAAGGGCUAUCAUGGACUUCAGACUAUUGAAUGUGGAUAAAGAUUUUGGUCCAAGAUUUUGCAAAUUUUGUCACUUUGGCAUGCCGUGUCCUCCAAAGAACGAAGGACUGUGAGAACAGUUUUACCUCUUGCCUUUGCAUCAGAAGGAGAGGAAAAUGUGUUGCAUCAGCUGUGGUGCUGGGCAUUUUCUCAGUGAGCUCAGUCGCAUUAACUUGUGUGACAAUCUGGGGAGAGGAGAUGGAGAACUGUAGUGCAUUGAACACCAAACACAGGCAGUUGGAAGAACUGCUAUUAUUUUAUGUACUACCAAGAAAGAAAAGCACUGCCAAUCAAAUGUGGCAAGUGGUUGGUUAGAAGACAGGUUUGGCUUUCAGAGAUAUUCAAAUAUGAAAAUGUAUCCAUCUUGGAACAGAUGUAUUAUGGAAUGAAUAUAGUGCUGAUGAUUUCCACUGGAUUCUAUUCAAUAAUAAUAACAAGCCCUAGAGGGCACAAUAUGCUGGCCCUGUCUUUGGACAAUCUCUGAUUUUCUGGUUUUACCAGCUGGGCAGGCUUGGGAACAGCCCAGUUAGCGAAUGCAAGCCCAGUACUUCCUUGGCACCUUCCUUAGGGGACCUAGGUUGAGCAGCUAGGCAAACCACAAGAAGCCUAGUUAAAUCUGCAUAUCAGAUAAACAACAAACAAUGUUUUGCUCUAAGUAUGGCCAAAAUAAUGUAUGAGACAUCUUACACUAAGAAAAAUUACCUGGGUAUCUUAGUAUUUUCAUUUGCUAAGUCAGGCAACCAUGCCUCCAGGGUAAUUUUACCCAGGACCUUCUCUGCUUGAUCUUUUACCUCUGAGAAGCCUCUGUUAAUAUCCAACUCCUUGAAACAACCUUGAGAGCCGGGGGUCAUUGAGGGUCACUUUAGAGAUGAAGGAGCUAAAUUUCCUCCUCAGACUUGAAUGUCCCA